rnacentral:rRNA from 1 species
CCUACGGGAGGCAGCAGUAGGGAAUCUUCCCCAAUGGACGAAAGUCUGACGGAGCAACGCCGCGUGAGUGAUGAAGGUUUUCGGUUCGUAAAGCUCUGUUGUUAGGGAAGAACAAGUGCGAGAGUAACUGCUCGCACCUUGACGGUACCUAACCAGAAAGCCACGGCUAACUACGUGCCAGCAGCCGCGGUAAUACGUAGGUGGCAAGCGUUGUCCGGAAUUAUUGGGCGUAAAGGGCUCGCAGGCGGUUUCUUAAGUCUGAUGUGAAAGCCCCCGGCUCAACCGGGGAGGGUCAUUGGAAACUGGGAAACUUGAGUGCAGAAGAGGAGAGUGGAAUUCCACGUGUAGCGGUGAAAUGCGUAGAGAUGUGGAGGAACACCAGUGGCGAAGGCGACUCUCUGGUCUGUAACUGACGCUGAGACGCGAAAGCGUGGGGAGCGAACAGGAUUAGAUACCCUGGUAGUC